UGUGCUGCAUCUUUUAAGGGGAUGGCAACCAAGACCACGGGAUCUGGCCUAAUGAGACAGUGAAAACUGGAUGUGGAUCUCCGGGCACUGUGUGGCUUGAGGCAGGCGGUCUUAGAAUGAGAUUCUGUGUGCACCA
rnacentral:lncRNA from 1 species